rnacentral:rRNA from 1 species
GACGAACGCUGGCGGCAUGCCUAACACAUGCAAGUCUAGGGGUAGCAAUACCACUGGCGCACGGGUGAGUAACACGUAGGUUAUCUGCCCCCAUCACAGACAUAACCCCGGGAAACCGGGGCUAAUAUCUGAUGAGGUCGCGAGAUCAAAGCUUCGGCGGAUGGGGAUGAGCCUGCGGCUGAUUAGCUAGUUGGUGAGGUAAUGGCUCACCAAGGCGACGAUCAGUAGCUGGUCUGAGAGGACGAACAGCCACACUGGAACUGAGACACGGUCCAGACUCCUACGGGAGGCAGCAGUGAGGAAUAUUGGUCAAUGGGAGCAAUCCUGAACCAGCAAUGCCGCGUGUGGGAUGACAGGGCUUCGCCUUGUAAACCACUGUCGGACGGGACGAAAGGAGGCCUCGGGCCUCUGGGACGGUACCGUCAAAGGAAGGUCGGCUAACUACGUGCCAGCAGCCGCGGUAAU